UUAGGAAUAUUGCGCAAUGGGGGAAACCCUGACGCAGCAACGCCGCGUGAGUGAAGAAGGCCUUCGGGUUGUAAAGCUCUUUUCUUGGGAAAGAAAUAAAUGACGGUACUCAAGGAAUAAGCACCGGCUAACCCUGUGCCAGCAGCCGCGGUAAUACAGGGGGUGCAAGCGUUAUUCGGAAUUACUGGGCGUAAAGCGCAUGUAGGCGGCUAGGUAAGUCUGGUGUGAAAUCCCGAAGCUUAACUUCGGAAGUGCAUUGGAUACUGCCUCAAGCUAGAGGAUGGGAGAGGAGAGCGGAAUUCCUGGUGUAGGGGUGAAAUCCGUAGAUAUCAGGAGGAACACCGGUGGCGAAGGCGGCUCUCUGGACCAUUUCUGACGCUGAGAUGCGAAAGCGUGGGUAGCAAACAGG
rnacentral:rRNA from 1 species